GACGAACGCUGGCGGCGUGCUUAACACAUGCAAGUCGAACGGAAAGGCCCUGCUUUCGUGGUGUUCUCGAGUGGCGAACGGGUGAGUAACACGUGAGUAACCUGCUCUUGACUUUGGGAUAACUUCAGGAAACUGGGGCUAAUACCGGAUAGGAGCUCCUGCUGCAUGGUGGGGGUUGGAACGUCUCGGCGGUUGGGGCUGGACUCGCGGCUUAUCAGCUUGUUGGUGGGGUAGUGGCUUACCAAGGCAUUGACGGGUAGCCGGCCUGAGAGGGUGACCGGCCACAUUGGGCCUGAGAUACGGCCCAGACGGCUACGGGAGGCAGCAGUGGGGAAUAUUGCACAAUGGGCGGAAGCCUGAUGCAGCGACGCCGCGUGCGGGAUGACGGCCUUCGGGUUGUAAACCGCUUUCGCCUGUGACGAAGCGUGAGUGACGGUAAUGGGUAAAGAAGCACCGGCUAACUACGUG
rnacentral:rRNA from 1 species